rnacentral:lncRNA from 1 species
AAAGAGUACUUUAUAAUUCAUUUCAAGUAUGAACCUUAUUGAAAAAGUGAAAUAUACUGUGUUAGUACAUGUCAGAAAAAUCAGGGAAUCAGGAAAACAUCUAUUUGAAAAAUACAGUGAAGCUACUUUUUCUCGCACUGUGGAACUGCUGGGCAUUAUAAGGAAAGUACGUAGAUGAACAGGAAGAUGUGUGUGUGUGUUCUUUCUUCAAAAUGCCAAACUUACUGUUUAGAUAUGGAGCAUAGUUUUCAUUAGUGGUGUAGUUAGGCUCACAUAGGUGAGAGUGAGUGAGCAAGUGAGCCCCUACCUCCAGGGGGAAACCACAGUAAGAUCAAGCUGACCUUCUCCACUGGUCUGUGGGCCUUGCUUUAUCAACUGUAUGUCAGCAUAUUAUCUUUCUUUAGAAAUAAUGACUAUAAAUGUGCUACUUUGGAGGAAGGACAACUGCCUCCUUUUGUCCUCCUACCCUUAAUUGUUAUAAGGAAUCCUGGGGUAGAACUGUUGAUGCAGAGGUAAGAUAGAACACUUUGGAAAAAGUACUUACUUUGAGGGCCUUUGUGUCUUGUUGAUACCAGUACUGUGAUAGUAGUGAUGAGCGUGAUUGAGUAUGUGUUUCUCUGUGUGUAUGUGUAUACACGCAUAUAUAAGAGUUAGUGGUAGCAGCUAAGCAACUAGAUUAAUAAAAUGUGCAUUAAAUUUAGCUUUAUCAGGACCCUUUGUUGUUGAAAUAUCUGUGGAAAAACUAACCUGUCAGUGAAAAUUCUAGCAGAGGCAUGGAACAUGGGUGCAUUUAUAAAGCAAGGAGGGUUUGGAAUAAGUAGGAUCCACUGAGAGCAUUCACCUUUGAAGUACACACUGACAUUUCCUCUGCAGAGAAACAAUUUUCAAUCUUUGCUCUAGUUCCCAAACCUAUUCUUUACCACCAUUAACUGAUUUUGUUUAUUUUGUUGGUACUGUAUCCCUGGCCCCUGGGAGAGUGAAUAGUCACAGCAGGUUCUCAGUAAAUAUUUGUCAAAUGAAUACAAUUUGGAUAACCCUAGGUUGGGGGGGGGGGGAUGCUUGUUGUUGCUUUGUUUUGGUGCUGGGAAUUGAACCCAUGGGUACUUGAUCAUUGAAUUAUAUCCUAUCCCUUUUUAUUUUGAGACAGGGUCUUGCUAAAUUGCUGAGGGCUUCACUAUGUUGGUUUGGCUGGACUGGAACUUGUAAUUUUCCUGCCUCAGUUUCCCAAGUUGCUGAAAUUACAGAUGUGUGCCCACUGUACCUGGCAACACUAAGUUUUUAGAUUUACAUCUAUCCUGUCAUGGCAUAACAAGCCUUUCUCUUAUUAAUCAUCUCUUAAUUUACAAGUGGAGAGAAGACCAGAUAUCUUAUUGAUGAACCUCUAAAUUUACAAAUGGAGAGAAUGACCAGAUAUUUAAAGAAGUAAUUUUAUUUUGAAAUGAUCUUAGUUUCAGUAUAUAUGUUAUCACUAAAUUCUUGUGAGUUUGGUAGUGGGUCUGAAGACAGAGAAGUCUCAAGUGUGUUAUUACACUGACAUUUAACGAAUAUUGUGCUUGAGGUGUUCCACGCCAAGCAUUUUGCAUUUAUUAGCUCAUGCUUCACAACAGAUCUCUAGUAUUCCCAUUUCACUGACAUGGAGACUGAAGCUCUGCAAUACCUAUGAAAGCAUUGAAGUGGGGGUUGUUUUGUUGUUGUUAUUUGUUUUCAUUUUUGUUUUUGGUCAAAAGGCAGGCUUUGGGGGAGCAAAACUUGGAAAUAGUGUACAUAAUAAUUGAACAGAUCUUUCUUGCCAUGGGUAGAUGUGCAAGUGUGAGAUUAUUUAUAGGGAAAGCCAGAUUGUGAUCUGUGCUCAUGUUUUACAGAAGAAAGGCUCUGUAUUCCAACUAAAACAUUUCCAUAUUUGGGACUGACCAGAUUUGGUCUGUUAGGAGGUGGACAAUUGCCCUUUUAUGGCCACCCAGAUCCUCCAUUGCUGUCUUGUUUCUCUUUGACUUGGUGGCUCUGACACUCCCUCAAGCAGUCUUGUUCUCCUCUGUCUUUUGUUACUGCUCUCUUGGCUCCAGUGUUCUCUGUCUCCUUUGCUCUCUAUCCGCUCUUUGUACUCCACAGCUCCCUUCUCUCUUCCUUUCCUCCCUCCCAACUCAUUACUUGCAACUUGAGCAAACAAAAGAAUUUCCUCUGCAUUCUGACUAUAAAAGAAUAAUAAUGUGAACAUUGAAUAAAGUCAACUUUUGAGUCACAGAACCAGGCAGGCCAAGUGAGAAAGUGAGCUGGCCAACAAAGGUCAGUUAGGAGGAUGCUAUAAAAAUAGCAUAAAUCUUAGAUCCUAGGAGGCUGUCCAAAGUUCAAAGAACUGACCCAGGACAAGUAGUAUUUUGUUUUCAGAAUAAAGAGCUUGUUGACCUCCUGGUGCUUACCACAGACUGUGUUUUUAUGCUGAGUAUAUACAAAAGGGAGGCAGAGUAAACCUAUCCUAUAGACACGCCAGCCCAGGCCUCCUGUCUGGACUGUAUUGUGAAUGGGGGCUAUGGAGUUGAGGGAAAUGAACUUCUUGAGUACAGUGACCAGACCAGUACACCCAAGGUUAGUUCUUGAGGACUACUAGAAUCAAACCAAGAUAUUCGCAGCUGUCUUAAUCCACUUUGUACUGCUGUAACAAAAUACCACAGACUGGGUAAUGAAUGAAAAUAGUAUAUAUCUUACAGUUCCGGAGGUUGAGAAGAUUACCAUUGAGGGGCCACAUCUGGUGAGGUCCUUGCCUGCAACAUUGUAACAUGGUAGAAAGUAUAAGGUGGGCAAGAGGUUAUGCACAGGAAAGGGAGGUUAAGAAGGGGCUAAACCCAACUUUAUAACAAAUCCUCUCUCACAAUAUGACAAUCCAUUUAUGAAGGCAGAGCCUUUGGGAUGGAAACAACUCCCAUAAGGACCCGUCUCCAAACACUGAUGCAUUGGGGAUUGAAUUUCCUACAUAAACUUUGGAGGACAUAUUUAGACUAUAGCAGUAGAUAAAAGGUGAACAUUAAAAAAUAACUUCCUUUCAACUUUUUUUUUCUCCCUUUCAAUUUUGAGUUUCAUCCCAAAGUUCUAAUUUAUACUUAGAAUGAAGGAUGUCUUUUCAAUCUGAUAUUUCUCUUCAUACCUAAAACUACUAACAUUUUUAAAUAACAGGAAGCUAAUUAAUCAACCAAAUUAUUAUCAGCUUAAACAUUGUGGCAUAUUAGAUAUUAGAUUAUUAUUACAGUAAAGAAUUACCUUUGGUGAAAUUGCUGGAGACCUACACAUUAUAUAUGCAAGUUUUUCUAUCAAUUGGUUUUAAGCAGCAAAACUAAAUGAAGGAACUAAUAAGGUGUAUACUGAGAGCCCCAAUUAGAUCUGGAUUGGCACUUCAUAGAAUCUUUCAAAAAUUCGGUAUUUUGAAGUGUCAACAUGCUUCAUAAAGAAUGGCUUUGUUGAGCCAGGUGCCGUGACACACACCUGUAAUCCCAGCAGCUUGGGAGGCUGAGACAAGGGGAUCCCAAGUUUAAAGCCAGCCUUAGCAACAGCAAGGUACUAAGCAACCCAGUGAGACCCUAUCUCUAAAUAAAAUAGGGCUGGGGAUGUGGCUCAGUGGUUGAGUGCCCCUAAGUUCAGUUCCUGGUACCAAAAAAAAAAAAGAAUGACUUUGUUGAGCAAGUGACAGUAACCUAUAACAUUGUAUUUGGGGGGAAUUCUCAUAGGGAAAAUAGUUUUAUUAAGAUGAGAAAUUAAUCAUUAUUUUUAGCUAUUUGAACUUGGUGAAACGUUCUCCUCAUUGAAAGAUUUGUAAAGUUAAUAUCAGCUCAUUCAUAAUUUUUUUCUCUUAUAGAAACAAACUUCAGAGGCAUUUCUUAUCAGUUUGUUUAUAAUCCUU